rnacentral:lncRNA from 1 species
AAGCAUAUAUCCACCAAUACAGAAGCUCUGAAUGGAGGUGCACAUAUCCUAUUUAAUGAGAUCCAAUAAGUUUGGAAAAAAUGACCUGUAAAGCCAUCAAACCCUAGCGCUUUAUCAGGAUGGAUUGAAAAUACAUCGUCUUAAAUCUCCUCUUCUAAGACAGGGCGAAUAAGAUCAACAUUCAUAACAUAAGUGACUCUGUGUGACAUUCCCUGAGUAG